ACAUCCAGAGAACUUAGCAGAGAUGCUUUGGUGCCUUCGGGAACUCUGAGACAGGUGCUGCAUGGCUGUCGUCAGCUCGUGUUGUGAAAUGUUGGGUUAAGUCCCGNAACGAGCGCAACCCUUAUCCUUGUUGCCAGCGGUUCGGCCGGGAACUCAAAGGAGACUGCCGGUGAUAAACCGGAGGAAGGUGGGGAUGACGUCAAGUCAUCAUGGCCCUUACGGCCAGGGCUACACACGUGCUACAAUGGCGCAUACAAAGAGAAGCGACCUCGCGAGAGCAAGCGGACCUCAUAAAGUGCGUCGUAGUCCGGAUUGGAGUCUGCAACUCGACUCCAUGAAGUCGGAAUCGCUAGUAAUCGUAGAUCAGAAUGCUACGGUGAAUACGUUCCCGGGCCUUGUACACACCGCCCGUCACACCAUGGGAGUGGGUUGCAAAAGAAGUAGGUAGCUUAACCUUCGGGAGGGCGCUUACCACUUUGUGAUUCAUGACUGGGGUGAAGUCGUAACAAGGUAGGCGUAGUGCU
rnacentral:rRNA from 1 species